CGAAGAGCAGUUCUCUUUUCUUUUUUUCUUCUUUUCCACAUCGCCUCAAGGCCGCUGCCAGACGAGCCCCGUGUGGCCCAAAUGAAGUUUCCCAAUCUUUCCGGAAGGACAGCAGCCUGUGAAGCAUUUCUCUGAGGCAGGAAAGUGCGUUUCCGCCAUCGUGGAAAUAGGGACUGGAGCCAGGCAGUGACCGAGAGACUUGCCCGUGGCUGGACAAGGACGCGAACCUCGCUGCGUCUCCCCUCCUCGCCCGGCCUCUGUCGAGGGGGGAUGGAGGAUGGAUGGGCACGCAGGGACGUGUGCGUUCUUCUCCCUUUCGCGUGGGUCCACCUUCCAGGGCCAGGCCCCAGCUGGCGAUGCUGCCCGGCCAGGCCAGGGGUCGAAGGUGAUUUCCGGUUUCUCCUCCGAGUGUCCUUCCCUGUGGGGACUGACCUUGCUCCGUUGAUUAGCAAGUCCCACAGAGGGGCUGGAGAGCCUCCCAAGGUUCUUUGAUGGCACCCACUGGGUCUCUGCCUUCUCUCCCAAUCCCAUCUGCUGGGGUUUUGGGAAUAGAAGUGGUUUCUGACAACACGAGUGACAAACGUGGUUUUCUCAAGCAUCCCCUGGCACUAAGUGUCCCAGCUUUCAAACACUGGCUUUUGAGAAGGCCCUUGUGGGAGCCGGAUGAUUAUAAAUUCUGCAGCUUUUUGGGUGCCAGUUUUUAAAAAUAAAUCUGGUGAUUACACAGCCUAAGCCUGGAUCUGCCCAAAUCGCUUAGGCUGUGAGGCCAUCUAGUGACCUGCUGGCUUAGUACAAUUAAAUUGCACUCUCCAGGGUGUGAAAGCUGCUUACAAAGCAGGGCCUUUCAUUUCGAUGUGGAUGAUCCCAAGUGUCCUGAGAGAAGAUGGCCCCUCCAUACAGGGCUGCAGAGAGGUCAGGACCCAGCCAGAAGCUGGUGUCCCCUUGCCACAUGAAGGGGCAUGAGGUCCACUGACGUGUUAAGCUAUAGGGACGCUUACAUGUCUUUUACGCUUGCCUUUUGUAUACCUGUAGUGCAAAGCAGAAUUUACCCUCAGUCGUUUUAGAAUUGAUCCCAAAAGUUGACAUGGAAGUGUAGACUGAUGGGGAUUGGGCUCAGGAAGGACACUACUGCUUGGACCCUUAGAGAAAACCACAGCAUCUCAAAACUCUUGAGUCUUUCAGCAGCUCCAGCUGGUCCGCUCCAAGAAGGGAAACGUUGAAAGCACUGAUGAUACCCAAAACUGCAUUUAAAAUUCAGGACUGAGGUCUUUGUGCCCUUUAGAUACCCACAACUACGCUAGGGAAAAAAGAAAACAUGCAUGUGACAGAAGAACCGUUGCCAACAGCUCAGGACGCCAGGCUCAUGUAAGGUGUGCUACUGGCUUUAGGAAUACUGGCAGGUGAUACAGGUCUAUUGCACACAUUUUAUUUUAUGCCUGAAAAGAGUCCUGCAGAAUAAUACUGAUGCUAUUUGAGGAUUCUCAGAGAAAUUUGAAAGGAAAGCUUUUUUCACUUUGAUCUUCAGUUUCUUUGAUUUGGCAUUUUAACAAGUAACUUCUCAGGUCUAGUUUUUCUGAACUCCUGAUAUAGAUAGCUCUUUGAACCUCCGUGAAGUCACUACCAUCUAACUCAGACCAACACCAAACAGGAGCAGUUAAAAAAUAUCUUCCCUAGCUCAUUCCAGCCCAGGGACUGCUUUGCUGAAAAAGGAGGAGUGAAGUCCUUGCUUCCUAGUAGUAUUGUCUGGGGCAUUAAAAACAGAGAUUUGCUCUUUCUUGAAUUUAACUACAGAUAGCUAAUUAGUAUUUUACAGACUCCUAGUAUGAUAUAAAAAAGUUAUAAUUACUAGUGAUAACUGCCAACCCUCACACAAAAGUCCAGGUAAAUCACUUAGACUUUCAGGCCAUGCUUUGUGAUGAUUAUUUCAGGGAAAGUUUCAAAGCCCGUUCCCUGUGGAAAAAAAAAGUUUCAUUUGCACAGGCUUUUGGUUUAACUUGGAGGGUAACAUCUUGAGAAUCUCUGCUGAUCAAAUGUAUGAUGUAAUUUGCAGCCAACUGACAUAACUGCACUGGAAUUUGCUCUGAGGACAAGGAGGACUUUGAUCACAACUUAAAAUGGAUUUUAUCUGUCAUAGAGGAGUGCUAAACUUUCAAAACGCAAUUGUAGAGCAGCACACGGGGGACUCGUGCGUGUCCAAGGGAAUUACUGGAUUACUGACUGAUGAUCCAACUCUCCAGGUCUCUGGGGAAAUUUGGUUUGAGCUAAUUAACAACAAAGAAAUGUAACUGCACAAGGACAGGAAAAAAAAAGACAGCGCGCAAAGCUACCUUUGCAUUAAUUAGCCAAUGACUCAUGAUUCAUUGUAGAUCCAAAGGUUAAACAGAAAGGAAGAAAGGCCUGCAGUUCAACUGACAGGCGACCACCUCAGUUUUGUUCCUUCUCUUCUAGCUUUUAAAGCUGAAGCUCCAGCCUUCUUUUCCAGAUCUCUUCGCAAGGCCAACUGCCACAGCUUGUUGCGUCAAAAGCAUCUCAGUGGAAAGUCACAGAAGGGGAGGAUGGAUGGAUCCAGAGUGCUGUUGAUUGGUUAAAAGCAUCCUAACAACUCAGUAUUGACAGUCGGUGGUUUUGCACAUCAGGAUCAAUUUGUGGUUAGCUAGAGGCUGCAGAAGCAAGGCAUUAUCAAAAUGUAACUAACUGGCACAUUAGCUGGUAGCUAAGGCAAAGUUGGAGAUGAGUCCUCUGGCCAGGUAAGAGAGAGACAAUUCAAUUAUUCUGUUGUGCCUUCAGCUACAAAAUCCGCACCUACUCAUUUCGGAAUCACUGUACAUCUUUUGCAUUUGAGGAGUAAAUAUCCUGACAAAACAAAUCGCACAUUACAUAUAGCGUGCCCUGAAAGCAUUAGGUGUGUCUUUCAUAGGUUUACCUUUCCCUGCUGCUUGGCCAGCUGUGUCAGGUUAGGAGCAAGAAUGAGCAGCAGCCAGCAGAGAUGAAGGCACUGGGCAUCCUCCGGCAGCGGGUGGGAGCAGGGGAACUGCAAAGUGCUGCUCGCCACUGGGUGAUAUGAGCAGAAGCCACAUUAAUCUGACCCUUGCUCCUCAGUCCUCCUGAGGUGAAAACUGUCAUCUCUGAAAUUGUCCUGGACACAUUUCAUCCUUGUCCACGCAUGCAGCUAAACCACACUUGGCCUCCGCCAGCUGCUCAUGUUCACACACAAGCAGAUGUGAGAGCAUUUUUGUAGCACAGGUGAAGCCUUGGGAGACACAAAGACUCAGAUGCUUUGUGCUUCUCUUCAUAUUCACUUCUUUUCAGAUAAAAGUAUUUAUUGCUGAUACAGCUGUGUGCUAUUCCAGAUGUGGUCAACUCAAGUGAAGGUAUUGUCAUAUUAAAAACUAGAGGAUACAUAUUUUCAAGAGCAGCUUUUUGAACAGCUGAAGUCUCCGUGGAGUCCUGGGACUUUGACUUCCAUAUGUCUCUUAAAAUAAUGAAACAGACUCCUAAGUUAAAGGUCCCACUACUAUUUUGUGACAGUCUGCUAGCAUAUAUUAAACCUCACUAUAAAGGGAAAUUAGGCUGAAAACAGUCAGUCCAACCCAACAAACAUAUCCAUAGCUAAUGAACAUGUCCAGAGCUGUGUCCUGUGAAAGCAGGUGCUACAUAUCUUCUGGUGGUUGUAGCUGUUCAGCAAGAAGAUUGCAGCACAGGCAGCAACUAACAGGAAUCAGUCACAACAUUGGCACAGCCAUGUCCAAUCAGCCACAGGUGAUACAGCUGCCUGUAUGAGUACACUAACAGAGGUGCUGGAGGUGGAUAGUUAGCAUUGGGUUUUGUUUGUAGCUCUCUUCACUCUUCCACAGACUCAACUGUCCCUGCUGUACUUUUUAUAUGGUUGUGAUGUUACUGUAGCCACUUGUAAAAGCUUUCUUUAUGCCAGGCUCCCACAGGGGGCAGUCAGGGAUCUGGAGACAUUGCAGGCUGUGGGAAGAUGUAGUGGUAAGGGGUUACAGGUCAAGGUAGCUGGGUGCCUAUGCAGGUUUUUUAGGUGUGCCCUGGGCCUGGGCCAGCUCAGGAGCCAGUCCAAGGUGGAGCAGAGCCGCUGGGGGAAAGGAGGACCCAUAACUAGAGCUAAAUGAUGGAUAUGGCUGGUGCCCCAUGCCUUUGGUCCACAUCCCCCCCACACGUGAUAUUCCAAGGACGACCUACAAAUCCCAUAAUUUCAGUGUAUUUAUUAAGACCUUAGCUUCUCCCAGAUCAGGCAGAAACAUUGCCAAACAACUGAGCUAAACCAAUAUUUUGUUUGGAGCAGCAAAACACAGCCCAGGUCAGGGGCCCUAAUCCAGUGCUUCCCAAGCAUAACUCUUGCGAGGUAGGCUGUUUUCACUAGUGUGUUUAAACUCCUGGUAAUUCUCUCUUCUCUAGGCAGUACAAUUACUGCAGAAAUAAAGCCUGAAGCUGUAGCACAUUUGGUUAUGAGAGUUUAAGGAUCAUGCCAAGAGCUGUUAGCACCAGGGAUAAGGUGAGCAGAUCAAGUUUUUGAGGAGCUGCAUUAGUUCACAACAGCAGAUUGAUUUUAUAAUUCACCAGUGCCAGAGAGCUGUGUAGAAUUUUUUAGUUCCUCUUAGGUGCUUAGAGCCUGGCCUAGUUAGACAUCACCUGACCUCUUCCUUUGACUUUCCUCAUGGUAGCCUGCCAAACAUUUGGACUCUCACAGGGGUCUCGGGACAGAGGAAAGGAUGGAGAUCUGAGUCAAAUGCAAGACUGACAGGUGGUGCUAAGGCUGUUUGCCUAGGACUUCAUACAACUUCUUCCUCUUUGUGCUGGUGUUUGCUAUUGCAACUCUGGAGAGUUUCAGGAUCCUCAGGAAACUUCGUUAGGAGUAAGGGUUAUGCUCUGUCAGGAACUCUGCUCUUCACUGUUUUGCACUAGUAUCCGUAGGUUGUUGAAAACAAGUGAUAUAACAGCAAGAAUGCCCAGAGGAAUGGAAAUAAUAAUUCCCCUGCCACGCCAGGCAGCUCAUUCACAUGAUGAAUAGUAUGGAGCUUAAUUUCAAGGUAAUUGAGCGCAGAAGAGCUACUAUUUAGGCACAUGGAGGCAUGCAAUGGUCAAAAGAGGCUGGAGAAAGACUCAGUCUUUGGCCCUGCUAUUGAUUUUCAGUGGUAUCCUACAAAAUGUUAGUUCCACUGGCUGCACCAUCCUUAUUUAGUCAUGAAGGCGUAUCCUCUAAAAGGCAUUUGGCACCCCACUUCUUAGGAUAUAGGCAACUGUGUCUUUAUUGUAUCGGUAGGUUUCACAUACACACACAACCAGGUCCAUGGAGAUUGCUCACAGAACAGGCUAAACUGACAUUAACACACAUGUGAUUUCGUUAUUUGUUUCAGGCUUCUUGUUGGCUCUGUGCAUUGGCAACACACUGCAACUUCCUUCGCCUUGGCAGCGCACGUACACCUGAGUGACUCGGUGGGAGCUGGCUUGGUCCCAGCACAGCCUGUUAUCUCGGCACCCACUGUCAACAGGGCUGGGCAGUUUGCAUGUGGAGCCACUUGGAUGUCCCCUUGUUAUAGUCCCCAGGGCUCCUAAUAAUGAACACAACGUAAGAGACCUCCAGCUUUGCUCUCUGAGGGGUCAUCUCACAUCUAGGAGUUUUUAUCAGCUCAGGUGUCAGGUUUCGUGGAAGUGGUUGUGUCCUGAUCCGAGCUGAGUGUGGAAGCAGCGUCGCUGUGACCAUGUAGCACAGCUCCUGGGCUCAGAUGCCCUGAACUUGCUCUGCAGGGAACCAGGAUAGAUGUGUCCACACCUGCAGGGAGCUUAAUCCUCAGUCUGAAUAAACGGCCCAAAGAUAACAGAGCAGACAGACUGCUAUUUUCCAGACAAGAAAUGAAGUGCUUCAGUGGGUGAGAUGUUGAAUCAGCACAUCCCAGCUGUAUAUGCUGGGUGUCAGAGCCCUGAGUGUACUAAUGGGCCUUGAUGGCCCUGACUAGCCUCACCUGAGACCUCCCCCACCCUACCUAGGCCCAGGAGCUCAUGUCAGCCCAACCCAAGGCCAUCAGUCUCUGCCCUUGUCACUGUAGUGGUGCUGGUCUCCAGCUCUGCCAUGGCCUUGCCUGGCCAUGGACACCCCCUGCCUGACUGGACUGCUUGACCUGGCCCCAUCCCCAUGGUGAUGCCCAGGGCUGGGGCUGUCCUGCUCUCUUGUUAGUGGUGGAGUGAGUCCUGGCUGUGAGGCCCAGCCCUGCCACCAUGGGGAGCCCCUGCUGGUACUGGCCCUGGGGAGCUGCUGGCCUGUCUAUUUAGCCUGUAUAGUGCCCUGCGGCUGGAAACAGCACAUGCCACUGAUGCCCUGGGGGAGCUCCUGCUUCAUCCAUCACCACUGCCCUUUGGUGGGAGCCAGCAGCAGGAUGGAGUCAGUUGGACCUGCUGAGAAAGGCUUGGAGUGGCUGGAUGCAGUGACAGGGCUGGGCAUCAAAGACUGAGCUGCUGCUUUCCUGCCUUCAUUCCUAGCAGGGGCAGUUGAAGAGCAGGCAGUGCGCUGACCUGAUUUCCAGGAGGCUGAUGCUUCUGAAAGUCAGGCUACGAGUGACUUGACCAAGGUCGUGCAGCAAGACCUCAUGACUACAUAGGUACCGGAGCAAAAUAGGGCUUUCGAUGGAAAAUCAAUGUGGCUUGGCAGCUGGUAAAAUUCUUCUACAGGAAAGUGUAGAGCUGUGUUAAGGACUUGGUCAAUCCAUCACCAGCAGCACAAUUUCCAAUUCAUUGAAGAAUUUUGAAGAAAAUAAAAAUAUGAAGCAGCAGAGUCAUGGCAAGGCGAAGCAACGUAACCUUUAAAUAGCAGGAUUUUUCCACCUCUCUGACACAUCAGACAUUGGCUCCUUGCAGAAGUAGGAGAAAGAGCUUGACAGACCUGUAGUCUGAUCUUUUAUGGCAGAUCCUAAGGGCAGGGGGGACUGACACGCUUGUUAGCAUUUGACCCAGUUUAAACUAACAGAUUUUUGAAAAACAAAGACUCACUGUGAGAUUAAGCAGAGGGAAAGCUGAAACAACUUGAUACUGCAGAAAAUACUCACUACAACUGAAGAAACAACUAUCUAGGGAAGAACAAACCCGCCAAGCCAAAAAAUCUUCCUCUGCUGUGUCACACAGCUAAAAAUCCAGCUGGUAAUCGGACAAGGCUAUUGCCACAGGAGAGCAGAGUAAAUUGAAAAGGUCCCAUGGCAGAUCUGGUCUACAGGAUAAGGUUGGGUUUUUUGUGCUUUUCUCAAUCCCACCAUAUCCCUGUUCCCAGGAGAGUUCCCAGGGGGAAGAAGUAGGAAGCUCCCACUGCUCUGACACUGCUUUGAAUCCUGCUGUCCAAGGGACAAACCUAAUAAACCCUGCUAUUACUGUUA